CAGAGACUCAUGAUUCAUCUGAUCCUGGUGCUCAUCCCAGUCUCCAGGAACAUCACUGAAUCACUGAACCAAGCACAAAAAUACCUCCACGGACAUUGCUGUCCUGCAAAGGUGACACAGAAAUUUCCAUGUUGUCCUCCGCCUUCCAGACAAGCAGAAUCCACACAUAGAGGAAAUAUCCAGUCGUGUCAGGCUGGAGUGGGACUGGGACAAGGCAACCCACCUGGACAGACUUAGAGUAGGGGCAUUCCCCAAGGAGACCAGUGGUCUGGUGUCAGAAGAGAGUGGACGCUCUCCAGAAGCCAGAGAAGACCAGCACCCUCGCCAUUGACCCUAUGUCCUCAGGUGUGUGCCUCAGAGUCAGGCUUCAGACACCAAGGACAAAUGCAUCUUUAAAUGUUUUGAAACUUUG
rnacentral:lncRNA from 1 species